rnacentral:rRNA from 1 species
GAAAUGACAUCCGAGUGACGGUACUUUAUGAGAAAGCCACGGCUAACUACGUGCCAGCAGCCGCGGUAAUACGUAGGUGGCAAGCGUUAUCCGGAAUUAUUGGGCGUAAAGAGAACGCAGGCGGUCUUUUAAGUCUGAUGUGAAAGCCUUCGGCUUAACCGGAGUAGUGCAUUGGAAACUGGGAGACUUGAGUGCAGAAGAGGAGAGUGGAACUCCAUGUGUAGCGGUGAAAUGCGUAGAGAUAUGGAGGAACACCAGUGGCGAAGGCGGCUUCCUGGUCUGCAACUGACACUGAGGCGCGAAAGCGUGGGGAGCA